ACCGGAUGUGCUUUCCGGUCUGAUGAGUCCGUGAGGACGAAACAGGAC
rnacentral:hammerhead_ribozyme from 15 species